rnacentral:rRNA from 1 species
ACCCGAAGGAACAGAAAUCAAUUGAGAUUCUCCUAGUAGCGGCGAGCGAACGGGAGGAGCCUGGUGUGAUUUAUUUUUUAUGCGAGUAGAAGAGUCUGGGAAGGCUUACCGAAGGGGGUGAUAGUCCCGUAUACGAAGCAUGAAAGAGGAACUAAGCACACGAACAAGUAGGCCGGGACACGUGUAAUCCUGGUUGAAGAUGGGUGGACCAUCAUCCAAGGCUAAAUACUACUUACUGACCGAUAGUGAACCAGUACCGUGAGGGAAAGUUGAAAAGAACCCCGGAGAGGGGAGUGAAAUAGACCCUGAAACCGUUUGCGUACAAGCAGUGGGAGCAUGUUUUCGGACGUGUGACUGCGUACCUUUUGUAUAAUGGGUCAGCGAGUUACUUUCAGUGGCGAGGUUAACUGAAUAAGGAAGCCGUAGAGAAAUCGAGUCUGAAUAGGGCGCGAGUCGCUGGGAGUAGACCCGAAACCGGGCGAUCUAGCCAUGUGCAGGAUGAAGGUUGGUGUAACACCAACUGGAGGUCCGAACCGGGUAAUGUUGAAAAAUUAUCGGAUGACGUGUGGCUAGGAGUGAAAGGCUAAUCAAGCCCGGAGAUAGCUGGUUCUCCCCGAAAGCUAUUUAGGUAGCGCCUCGUGAAUGAUUACCGGGGGUAGAGCACUGUUUCGGCUAGGGGGCUGUCAUGGCUUACCAAACCGAUGCAAACUCCGAAUACCGGCUAAUUGAAUCACGGGAGACACACGGCGGGUGCUAACGUCCGUCGUGAAGAGGGAAACAACCCAGACCGCCAGCUAAGGUCCCCAAGUUAUGGUUAAGUGGGAAACGAUGUGGGAAGGCACAGACAGCCAGGAGGUUGGCUUAGAAGCAGCCACCCUUUAAAGAAAGCGUAAUAGCUCACUGGUCGAGUCGGCCUGCGCGGAAGAUGUAACGGGGCUAAAACCAUACACCGAAGCUGCGGAUGUGUAGUAAUACACGUGGUAGGGGAGCGUUCUGUAAGCUGAUGAAGGUUCAUUGAGAAGUGGCUGGAGGUAUCAGAAGUGCGAAUGCUGACAUGAGUAACGAUAAAGAAGGUGAAAACCUUCUCGCCGGAAGUCCCAGGUUUCCUGCACGACGUUAAUCGGAGCAGGGUGAGUCGGCCCCUAAGGCGAGGCAGAAAUGCGUAGUCGAUGGGAACCAGGUUAAUAUUCCUGGACUUUUUAUAAGUGGUGAAGUGGGGACGAAGAAGGCUAGAUGAGCCGGGCGUUGGUUGUCCCGGUACUUGCAUGUAGGCGGAGAGACUUGGCAAAUCCGGUUUCUCGUUAACGCGGAGGUGCGAAGUGGUUCUGACCCUUCGGGGUGCAGAGAAGUCAUUAAUGCCAGGCUUCCAGGAAAAGCUGCUAGCCAUAACUUAUAGAAAACCGUACCGCAAACCGACACAGGUGGACAAGUAGAGAAUACUAAGGCGCUUGAGAGAACUCGGGUGAAGGAACUAGGCAAAAUGGUACCGUAACUUCGGGAGAAGGUACGCCCUUGCCGGUUAAUUGUUUUACAUAAUGAAGCUGGUGAGGGCCGCAGAGACCAGGUGGCUGCGACUGUUUAUUAAAAACACAGCACUCUGCAAAUUCGUAAGAAGACGUAUAGGGUGUGACGCCUGCCCGGUGCCGGAAGGUUAAUUGAUGGGUCAUCUUCGGAGAAGCUCUUGAUCGAAGCCCCGGUAAACGGCGGCCGUAACUAUAACGGUCCUAAGGUAGCGAAAUUCCUUGUCGGUAAGUUCCGACCUGCACGAAUGGCCGUAACGAUGGCCACACUGUCUCCACCCGAGACUCAGUGAAAUUGAAAUCGCUGUGAAGAUGCAGUGUACCCGCGGCUAGACGGAAAGACCCGUGAACCUUUACUAUAGUUUGCACUGGACUUUGAUGAUAACUGUGUAGGAUAGGUGGGAGGCUAGGAAGUGCAGACGCUAGUUUGCAUGGAGCCAACCUUGAAAUACCACCCUGUUAUUAUUGAGUUCUAACUUGGGCCCAUAAUCUGGGUUGAGGACAGUGUAUGAUGGGUAGUUUGACUGGGGCGGUCUCCUCCCAAAGAGUAACGGAGGAGCACAAAGGUACCCUCGGUACGGUCGGACAUCGUACCAAGAGUGUAAAGGCAAAAGGGUGCUUGACUGCGAGACUGACGGGUCGAGCAGGUACGAAAGUAGGUCUUAGUGAUCCGGUGGUUCUGUAUGGAAGGGCCAUCGCUCAACGGAUAAAAGGUACUCCGGGGAUAACAGGCUGAUACCGCCCAAGAGUUCAUAUCGACGGCGGUGUUUGGCACCUCGAUGUCGGCUCAUCACAUCCUGGGGCUGAAGCAGGUCCCAAGGGUAUGGCUGUUCGCCAUUUAAAGUGGUACGCGAGCUGGGUUUAGAACGUCGUGAGACAGUUCGGUCCCUAUCUGCCGUGGGCGUAGGAAAAUUGAGAGGAGCUGCUCCUAGUACGAGAGGACCGGAGUGGACGAACCUCUGGUGUUCCGGUUGUGACGCCAGUCGCAUUGCCGGGUAGCUAAGUUCGGACGGGAUAACCGCUGAAAGCAUCUAAGCGGGAAGCCUCCCUCAAGAUGAGUUUUCCCAUGAAGCCCGUUGAAGACUACGACGUUGAUAGGCGAGGUGUGGAAGCGCAGUAAUGCGUGAAGCUAACUCGUACUAAUUGGCUGAUUGUCUUGACCAU